GACGAACGCUGGCGGCGUGCUUAACACAUGCAAGUCGAACGGAAAGGCCCCUUUGGGGGUACUCGAGUGGCGACCGGGUGAGUAACACGUGAGUAACCUGCCCUUGACUUCGGGAUAACUUCAGGAAACUGGGGCUAAUACCGGAUAGGAAUCAUAUCUGCAUGGUGGGGGUUGGAAAGCUUCGGCGGUUUUGGCUGGACUCGCGGCGUAUCUGCUUGUUGGUGGGGUAAUGGCUUACCAAGGCGUCGGCGGGUAGCCGGACUGUGUGGGCGACCGGCCACAUUGAGACCGAGAUGCGGCCGAGACUGCUACGGGAGGGAGCAGUGGGGAAGAUUGAACGAUGGGCGGAAGCCUGGUGCAGCAAGGCCGCGUGCGGGAUGACGGCCUUCGGGUUGAAAACCGCUUUCAGCAGGGGCGGAGCUUGUGGUGACGGUACCUGCAGAAGAAGCACCGGCUAACUACGUG
rnacentral:rRNA from 1 species